rnacentral:lncRNA from 1 species
GCUAGCGGAAACAACAAUGUUCUGAACAAGCCCACUGAGUAGGAAAGUUAACAGUUACAAGUAUUACUGUGAGGUGGGCACAGAUUGGUAUAUAUUACAAAGGGAAUGGAGAGAAUUAGUCCAGCCAAGUAGAAAGUGAUUUAAGGUGCUUCUCUUAUAUUCAGGUUCUAGUGGUUCCUACAUCUAGCUCCACUUCCCUGCCAUUACUGAUCAUAUCUCUAUGUAUUCAUUCAUUCUGCCUGAAAAGCAAGCAUUCAGACUCUGAAUAGAUAUUAACUAUUCCAUAAGACUCAAUUUAGACCUCACUUGUCCUAGUGAGCCCUCCUCAAUGCUCCUAUAACACUCUUUGUAUGCCCUCUAUUAUAACACUUUCCACAGUAUACUGAAACUUUACAUCUAUUUGUAAUUCUAUUUUACAUCUAUUUGUAAUUUACAUCUAUUUUUAAUUUCAUAUUAGACAUCAGUAAUUAGGGGGUAGUUUUCAUCUACAUGCUUCUCUUAGCAACUUCCACAAUUUCUGACACAAAGUUCACAGUUAAUAAUUAUUUGUUAAACUGAAAUGUUUGUUCCAUUACCCACCAAGAACAUAAAACUUAAGCAUUCCUUAUUACUUGAGAAUUUUCUAAAUGCAAGAUUUAAACUCUGAAUUCCACCACUCUGACUACAAUGGACUCUUCUUCUACUCCUCUUCCUGCUUCAUCUAAAUCUGCCUCAUUUUAACAUGAAGCCAACUCCUCUUUAUCUUCCUAGUUGAUCACUCUAUUUCUGACUCCACUAAAUUUUCUAAUUCAGUUGAAGUCAAUUAUUUGUAUUCUCCAAAAAGUGGAUUCACUGAAAUGUGCUCUGUCCCUCUUCUCUUUUCCUGAGUCCGACUGUGUGAUACCCCUUGCUUUUCACCUUCCCUCACAAAUGUUAUUUUUAAUUUUUUUUCAACGUUUAUUUAUUUUUUUGGGGACAGAGAGAGACAGAGCAUGAACGGGGAAGGGGCAGAGAGAGAGGGGGACACAGAAUCGGAAACAGGCUCCAGGCUCUGAGCCAUCAGCCCAGAGCCCGACGCGGGGCUCCAACUCACAGACCGCGAGAUCGUGACCUGGCUGAAGUCGGACGCUUAACCGACUGCGCCACCCAGGCGCCCCAAAUCAUGUUAGCUGGAAAAGCUUACAAGACCACACUUGUUGGAACCAAUACAAAUUCUUGGCUUCUAAAGACCCUAUUCUGAAUCAUCUCUCCACUUGCUUUGGAAGACUCCUUACAGACAUAGUAAUAUGGUCUCAACUGCCUUUCUGCUGAUCUGAGAAGUGAAACAAAGAAGCAUAUGACUACAAAAGGCU